rnacentral:rRNA from 1 species
UACGAAGGGGGCUAGCGUUGUUCGGAAUUACUGGGCGUAAAGCGUGCGCAGGCGGUUCGUUGUGUCGGCGGUGAAAGCCCCGGGCUUAACCUGGGAAUGGCCGUUGAAACUGGCGAACUGGAGUGUGGCAGAGGGGGGUGGAAUUCCGCGUGUAGCAGUGAAAUGCGUAGAGAGUGCGGAGGAACACCGAUGGCCGAAGGCAGCCCCCUGGGCUAACACUGACGCUCAGGCACGAAAGCGUGGGGAGCAAACAGG